CCCCUAGAUGUUCUGGGCCGCACGCGCGCUACACUGAACAGUUCAACAAGUCUUAACCUUGGCCGAUAGGUCUGGGUAAUCUUUGAACGCUGUUCGUGAUUGGGAUAGACCUUUGCAAUUAUGGGUCUUCAACGAGGAAUUCCUAGUAAACGCAAGUCAUCAGCUUGCAUUGAUUACGUCCCUGCCCUUUGUACACACCGCCCGUCGCACCUACCGAUUGAAUGGUCCGGUGAAAUCUCGGGACGGCGGCUUGGUCGCUUUCGUCCGACUGCUGAAACUUGAUUAAACCAUAUCAUUUAGAGGAAGGUGAANUCGUANCA
rnacentral:rRNA from 1 species